UGAGCACAGCAAACGCCCGAGUGCCCAGUGAGACUGCGUGCCUGAGCGGCCAGCGGUGACGAAUGCUCCUCUCUUUGCCCCUGCUUGUGCCCACCUGAAUCUUAUAAGAAUGGCUCCCGAAUAGCAUCUGCUAACCAAAAGGAAGCACAGCUGUUCGCCUGUGACCACAGGAGGAAAACCCAAGCACACAGCCGCCAAGUUGAUAAGAAUUAACUGAAAUAGAAGACCUUUGUGGAGCAGGAGAGCAACCACGGUGACUCUGCUCUAGCGUUUCAACUCAGUGCACGAGACUGGUUGUGGAUCAUUACAGAACAUUAGAAUGUUUCUCAGCAUGUGGCAUGUUCUACAGAGUCCGAGCCAUCGGUACUACCCGUAGGGAAUUUUCUCUAGGCAUGUCUUCUUUUCCUCUCUCAUCCAGAUUUGAACAUGUGAAAAGGGAGAAACUUCUAUCAAUAUGUGAACUCCGGAUUAGAAGCAUGAAGGCCCAAGAGAGCAGAGUAUGCUGGGUGAUGGAACACCAAUCAGUCAAAAAGACCAUGAGAGGAACCAAGUACUGACCAGAAACAAUGAGGUGAAAUUAUCGGGAUUCUAGAAACACCCUGCAUGGGGCACAGUAAGGCAUCUGGAGAGGCUGAGAGACAUAAGCACUUGCUAAGAGCCUUUCUGGGGCUGGGCCUCUUGCAGGGGCUGGGCUCUGCUGGAAAAAUCUUACAGUGCACUGCACCUAUAGUUCCAUAGUAAAGUAAGCUAAUGACAACAGGGUCUAGGUGGGAGACCACUUACAUUUUAAUUCAUGUUAGAAGUGGGUAUCAAUACAAAAUACAGUUUCUACUGAA